GAGUCUGCGAUUGCUUCCUGUCAUCUGAGCUGCCUGUGUCAUCCUGAAAGAUGAAACAGGUAUCCAGGCUUCCACAGCUUCCAGCUCAGAUUCCCCUGGCUGCUUCCAAGCAGGACUUCCAGAUGCUGGUUCUGCUGGAUCCACACGUCAUUCAUCUCCCGUCUCCGUUUUUGAAAGCCAAUUCCACCUCAGGACUUUUUGCAGAGGUCACACAAAACAAUGGCUGUUCAAAAGUCUCAGCUUGGUUCCUGGCCCGUGCAACCGUUUUGGGUUUUUAUUCUCCAACAUUUGAAUCUCCAGGGCAAGUAAACUAAGAGAUGGUGAUGAAAACAGUCUGCCUGCCCAAAAUGUGGAUUUGUGGAGAAAAAUGUAAAGUCCCAUGGUCUGGUCCUUCACUGUCCACCACAAAGAGGGACUGGGCUUGUGAAGCUUCCAGAGCAAGUCCCUGUGAGAUGACUUUCCAGGUGAAGACAACUGACAGCCUGUGCUCCAUCCCCGGGGCCCACGUGGUGGAAGGAGAAAAGUCGUCCUCUGAACUACAGAGAGAGACAAAACCAGAGAGCCUCACAGAAAAAAAAAAUCAUAAAAGCAAAUUCACGGGCAGGUCGGGGGAUUAGCAAUUCUGUAGGAGAUUUCUUGAGGCAAGAGGGACCCUGGUGCCUAUCUCUUCUGGGCUCCUUCACUUCAAAGCUCCCAGAUUCCUGUUUCCAGAUCAUUCUGUAGGUUCAUAACAUUGCCUUUCAUUGGCCUUCCACCUAAGUGAAUAUUGUUCAAAUAGAUAAGGAUACAGGACCAUAAAGGGUCAGAUCACGAUGUGAAUAACCCAGCCACUGGGAACAUUCACCUUGAACAAAUACAAUUCGAAUGACUGGAGAUAAAAUGAAGUACAGUAAUAUCAGUCGUCUCUGCUUUAAGGAGGCCUUGGUGGCUCAUAAGAAUGUGAGGGCUGGAGAGAUAUCUCAGUGGUUAAGAGCACCGUCUG